rnacentral:rRNA from 1 species
GACGAACGCUGGCGGCGUGCUUAACACAUGCAAGUCGAACGGAAAGGCCCUGCUUUUGUGGGGUGCUCGAGUGGCGAACGGGUGAGUAACACGUGAGUAACCUGCCCUUGACUUUGGGAUAACUUCAGGAAACUGGGGCUAAUACCGGAUAGGAGCUCCUGCUGCAUGGUGGGGGUUGGAAAGUUUCGGCGGUUGGGGAUGGACUCGCGGCUUAUCAGCUUGUUGGUGGGGUAGUGGCUUACCAAGGCUUUGACGGGUAGCCGGCCUGAGAGGGUGACCGGCCACAUUGGGACUGAGAUACGGCCCAGACUCCUACGGGAGGCAGCAGUGGGGAAUAUUGCACAAUGGGCGGAAGCCUGAUGCAGCAACGCCGCGUGCGGGAUGACGGCCUUCGGGUUGUAAACCGCUUUCGCCUGUGACGAAGCGUGAGUGACGGUAAUGGGUAAAGAAGCACCGGCUAACUACGUGCCAGCAGCCGCGGUGAUACGUAGGGUGCGAGCGUUGUCCGGAUUUAUUGGGCGUAAAGGGCUCGUAGGUGGUUGAUCGCGUCGGAAGUGUAAUCUUGGGGCUUAACCCUGAGCGUGCUUUCGAUACGGGUUGACUUGAGGAAGGUAGGGGAGAAUGGAAUUCCUGGUGGAGCGGUGGAAUGCGCAGAUAUCAGGAGGAACACCAGUGGCGAAGGCGGUUCUCUGGGCCUUUCCUGACGCUGAGGAGCGAAAGCGUGGGGAGCGAACAGGCUUAGAUACCCUGGUAGUCCACGCUGUAAACGGUGGGUACUAGGUGUGGGGUCCAUUCCACGGGUUCCGUGCCGUAGCUAACGCUUUAAGUACCCCGCCUGGGGAGUACGACCGCAAGGCUAAAACUCAAAGGAAUUGACGGGGCCCCGCACAAGCGGCGGAGCAUGCGGAUUAAUUCGAUGCAACGCGUAGAACCUUACCUGGGUUUGACAUGGAUCGGGAGUGCUCAGAGAUGGGUGUGCCUCUUUUGGGGUCGGUUCACAGGUGGUGCAUGGCUGUCGUCAGCUCGUGUCGUGAGAUGUUGGGUUAAGUCCCGCAACGAGCGCAACCCUUGUUCACUGUUGCCAGCACGUUAUGGUGGGGACUCAGUGGAGACCGCCGGGGUCAACUCGGAGGAAGGUGGGGAUGACGUCAAGUCAUCAUGCCCCUUAUGUCCAGGGCUUCACGCAUGCUACAAUGGCUGGUACAGAGAGUGGCGAGCCUGUGAGGGUGAGCGAAUCUCGGAAAGCCGGUCUCAGUUCGGAUUGGGGUCUGCAACUCGACCUCAUGAAGUCGGAGUCGCUAGUAAUCGCAGAUCAGCAACGCUGCGGUGAAUACGUUCCCGGG